UGUUGCCAUGGCUGCUCCACACGCAGCUUAAGUAUUCAGUCUUCUGGCCUGUUCCAUCUACACAGGACAUUUCACGUCUUAUGAAUGAUGACCUAGAAAGGAAAGACUUACUCUGAAUUAAAUUCAGUAUGGGAAAAUGCUUAAGCUGCUGGAAAGAGGACCGGUGCUUCCAACCGAAUUAUGAAGAUCGAAUUACUCCACAACGCAUGUGUCAUGGAUCCUCUUGUACUUUACAAUCAAAAGUGUCUCUGGGUCUUAUAACAUGUCGUCCUUCUUCAACACGUAAAAUAGGUAGAAAAAUCUCUUCCUCUUCAUAUUCAGCUACUCCCUUAUUUCCAUGUAAAGGAAGACACACUUUACUGCAGAGAUUCCAAAAGACUAAACGACGAAGAAGUCGAGUUAACUUUCAGUCCCAGGAAGACGUAACUUCCAGUUCCACAAAAUCUUCAGAUCAGUUUACUUUGCUUAAAUCUCAAAAAUAUUUUUCAUCCCGCAGGCUGAGUAUAGUUUCCUGUCACAGGAAUAGCGUUAACUAUGAAACUCCACGAGGUAGUCUGUCUCAUGCAAACGAAAUUCAAGGCUUUUCUAAAAAGGCAACCAGUAGUUAUGCUCAAAAACGUAUAAGCUUCUCUGAUCCUGAACAUAGCAAUAGAUUCUUUGCAAAUCUGGAAACAAAAACCGUUUCUUCAGGCCACUGGAGUGUUGAGAAAACGUCAUACCCACCAAGUCUAACAACAUCUCUCUUCUCUCUUCCAACUGUUAUGUCUUCUUCCAGUCAAGCAAAUGUUUCUGUUGCUGAUAACCAAGAACAUGACCAACUAAAUAAGGAUUCAGAAGAUGUCCUUCAUCGCAGGUCUCAGAGUCACAGUAGAAAUUACUCUCCAGAUGGUUUGGAGCAUUAUUUGUCUCAUAUACCUUCUCCCAGCCUCCUCCACGAUGAACUUUCCUCACUGUACCAGGCUAAUAGCUUAACUGUUGAAGUUACCUCGGGCUCCUUUGAAGACGAAAGCUUCGCUACCCCACCUCUAGAUGAAGAUCUAUCUUCACCUAUUGAAAUGGCUGAAAUAAGGUAUAUUACAGCUAACACUGACACAGAAGAACAGAGUUUCCCGGACCCUCAGGCUCUUAACACACACAUUGAGGAACUAAAGUUGGAUGUCCUCCUUCAGAAGGUAGACCAUUUGCGGAUAAAUGAGUCUAACAAAAUGGAGAGUUUUGAGCUACUUUGUGACCAUAAAGAGAAGUUUAGUGAAGAGAUAGAGUUUCUGUGGCGGCUUGCCCGUGCCUAUGGAGACAUGUAUGACCUCUCUACAAAUACACAAGAGAAGAAACAUUAUGCUAAUGUUGGAAAAACAUUAGGAGAGAGAGCUAUUACCAGAGCGCCCAUGAAUGGACACUGCCAUCUGUGGUAUGCAGUUUUGUGUGGUUAUGUAUCUGAAUUUGAGGGCUUGCAAAACAAAAUUAACUGUGGAUAUCUAUUCAAGAAGCAUCUAGAUAUAGCCAUCCAGCUUUUGCCUGAAGAACCCCUUUUAUAUUACCUCAAGGGAAGAUAUUGCUAUACUGUCUCAAAACUCAGCUGGAUUGAGAAAAAAAUGGCUUCUACUCUGUUUGGGGAAAUACCAUCUUCAACGGUUCAUGAAGCUUUGUACAACUUCCUUAAGGCCAUACACUGUUCACCUGUCCGUCUUAGACUCUCUCACAGACAUAGUCACACAUGUACACAACCCUGUUAUCCUCUUGUCUGCUCUCUCUUCAUUCAGACUGAAGAACUGCAGCCUGGUUAUUCUGUAUCCAACUAUAUGUAUGCAUCCAAGUGUUAUGUUGAACUUGGAGAGUCUCAGGAGGCUUGGAAAUUCUGUAACUUGGCAUUGCUACUGCCUAUUGUCACCAAAGAGGACAAGGAUGCACAUAAAGAGGUGAAGAAAAUAAUCGAUUCUUUGAAGAGAUAAGAGGAGAAGAGGAUAGGGAAGCUUAGCUUGAGCAACACAACCUAUUUUGUCUCGGUGUAUAGGAAGAACCUCGUUGUAGACUUUGUAGCUUAUUAAUUGUGAUGAACAAGACUGGCUUCUUCCCCAAAGACAAGGAGGAAAGCUAACAAGAAGAAUCAUAAAACCACUGAAAAAGUCAAGUAGAGGAAUGUGGAGCCCUUGGUGACUUGGACCAGACAGACUGGUCAGCAUCUUUGUGAUGCCCUGUGCAAGCACAGCUGGAGGAAGCAGCUUUGCCUGCAAGCCUUCUACUCCAUUUGCAUUCAUAUUAACAGAGAGUGAUGGCAGACACAGAGCUAAACCACAAGAGGAAGCAGUGAGGAUGUUCCUGAAUCUAGAACUUACAUCGAAGCUCUGCUCUCCUGUGAGGACAUGUGGAAUAAAUACCCCAAUUUUCAACCCCUAUGGGGUCUCAAAAGACUCUUACACAGGGGUGGCCUAAAA